GCUCCCGUAUCCCAAUUGGAAGAGGAGUCCGGCUUAAACCCGGUUCAGCGAGAGUUCGAACCUCUCCGGGAGUA
rnacentral:tRNA from 1 species